AAAUUGAAGAGUUUGAUCAUGGCUCAGAUUGAAUGCUGGCGGCAGGCCUAACACAUGCAAGUCGAACGGUAACAGGAAGCAGCUUGCUGCUUUGCUGACGAGUGGCGGACGGGUGAGUAAUGUCUGGGAAACUGCCUGAUGGAGGGGGAUAACUACUGGAAACGGUGGCUAAUACCGCAUAA
rnacentral:rRNA from 1 species